rnacentral:rRNA from 1 species
UCAGACACGUCAGAGUUUGAUCCUGGCUCAGGACGAACGCUGGCGGCGUGCAUAACACAUGCAAGUCGAACGAUGAAGAAGAGAAUGGAGACUUCGGUCAAAGUUCGCUUCGGAUUAGUGGCAGACGGGUGAGUAACGCGUGAGCAACCUACCUCUUACAAAGGGAUAGCCAUGGGAAACCGUGAUUAAUACCCUAUGAUACUUAAAAUUCACAUGAAUUUUAAGUCAAAGCGAUUUAGCGGUGCAAGAUGGCCUCGCGUCCCAUUAGCUAGUUGGUAAGGUAAAAGCUUACCAAGGCUACGAUGGGUAGCCGGCCUGAGAGGGUGACCGGCCACACUGGAACUGAGACACGGUCCAG